rnacentral:rRNA from 1 species
AUUGAACGCUGGCGGCAGGCUUAACACAUGCAAGUCGAGCGAGCGGCGGACGGGUGAGUAAUGUCUGUUACACUGCCUGAUGGAGGGGGAUAACUACUGGAAACGGUAGCUAAUACCGCAUACCAUCAGAUGUGCCCAGAUGGGAUUAGCUAGUAGGUGGGGUAAUGGCUCACCUAGGCGACGAUCCCUAGCUGGUCUGAGAGGAUGACCAGCCACACUGGAACUGAGACACGGUCCAGACUCCUACGGAAGGCAGCAGUGGGGAAUAUGGCACAAUGGGCGCAAGCCUGAUGAAGCCAGGCCGAGUGUGUGAAGAAGGCCUUCGGGUUGUAAAGCAAUUUCAGCGAGGAGGCGUUACUCGCAGAAGAAGCACCGGCUAACUCCGUGCCAGCAGCCGCGGUAAUUC